GACUUCAUCACAACACAAGAAUUCUAUAAGGAAGAUGUAACUUUUAUGAUAAAAAAUAUCAUAAUAAUUUUUAUUCAAUAAUCAAUAAUUCAUAUACAAAGAGAAACUCAAUCGUCACAUGAUUGGUUUUAAAACAUAAUUUUUAAUACCUUAAGAUAUAUGGCAUCAUCAUAUGAGAUCAAAGAGAUAUCAAUCUGAAAGCAC
rnacentral:lncRNA from 1 species